AACUGAUGAAAAGUUAACAAUGAUAUAAAAUAACGGCUCUUGUAGGUGAUGGCAGCUGGUGAAGUUUAGUCUUUGUCGUACCCGGGUGUUUCUAAGCUUCUCCACGGACUCUUUAGCACGGAGAUGUAGACUUACCCUGACCAGGUGCAAGAGAAUCAAACAUUCCUGUUUAGUGGCCUUUGUGCAAUACAAUCGCUUAACUUGCACUCUAAUUGAUGUUUUUUAUUUGUUUUUACUUACAGUUAUUGUUAACACUUGUAAUAUUUACUGUUAUUGUGUGUUACUGUCACAGAUGUUAUAGAUGUUUUAUUCUAUUUAGUGAUCGAUGAAUCAGUUUUGAUGGGUUCUUUUUUGUCAUUUUGCAAUCCAAACCCUUAAUUUUUGCUGCUGCCAGAGCAGAGGUUUCUUGAAGCCAGCCUUAAUAGACAGCUUGAUGGAUGUCACGCCAGGAAAAGUCCCUGCCAUCCCUCUAGACUGAAUCCAGUCUCACAGCUUGAUUUCUUUGGUUUUCUCGCAUAGACAAUAUUUGACUGACACAUAAUUUUGACUUAAUCCAUCCAUCCACCUGCUUUUCCUUUAGAGGGUUGAGGGGCUCUGCGGCCGAUCCCAGAUGACACUGGAUGAGAGGCAGGCACACGGAGAACAUGCAAACUCCACACAGAAUGGACCCAACCGGCUGGCAGGUUCAAGCCCAGAUCCUGCUUGCUGUGAGGCAACAGUGCUGACCACUGUGCACUCUUACCUAAUCAAAAUGGUCUGACGAAUACUCCAUUGGUGCUAUCCAUUCGUAGUCAUACAUCCGUUUGCUGCCAGAGGGGAGCAUACUAAAAAUAUCAUCUGUGGUGGACUCGGAGUCAGCCAUCCCGCUGUCUGGCCACAGGUUGAGGGAGUGCGGG